rnacentral:rRNA from 1 species
UACAGAGGUCUCAAGCGUUGUUCGGAAUCACUGGGCGUAAAGGGUGCGUAGGUUGCGUGGUAAGUCAGAUGUGAAAGCCUGGGGCUCAACCUCAGAAUUGCAUCCGAUACUGCCGUGCUAGAGUACUGAAGAGGUGACUAGAAUUCUAGGUGUAGCAGUGAAAUGCGUAGAUAUCUAGAGGAAUACCAAAGGCGUAGGCAGGUCACUGGGCAGUUACUGACACUGAGGCACGAAGGCCAGGGGAGCAAACGGG